AUUGAACGCUGGCGGCAUGCUUUACACAUGCAAGUCGAACGGUAACAGGGAGCUUGCUCCGCUGACGAGUGGCGAACGGGUGAGUAAUGCGUCGGAACGUGCCGAGUAGUGGGGGAUAACGCAUCGAAAGGUGUGCUAAUACCGCAUACGUACUGAGGUAGAAAGUGGGGGACCUUCGGGCCUCACGCUAUUCGAGCGGCCGACGUCUGAUUAGCUAGUUGGUGAGGUAAAGGCUCACCAAGGCGACGAUCAGUAGCGGGUCUGAGAGGAUGAUCCGCCACACGGGGACUGAGACACGGCCCAGACUCCUACGGGAGGCAGCAGUGGGGAAUUUUGGACAAUGGGCGCAAGCCUGAUCCAGCCAUGCCGCGUGUCUGAAGAAGGCCUUCGGGUUGUAAAGGACUGUUGUCUGGGAGCAAAUGCCUGGUGUUAAUAGCACUGGGAGCUGAGAGUACCGGAAGAAUAAGCACCGGCUAACUACGUGCCAGCAGCCGUCGUAACAC
rnacentral:rRNA from 1 species